rnacentral:rRNA from 1 species
UGGGGAAUAUUGCACAAUGGGCGCAAGCCUGAUGCAGCGACGCCGCGUGAGGGAUGACGGCCUUCGGGUUGUAAACCUCUUUCAGCAGGGACGAAGCGCAAGUGACGGUACCUGCAGAAGAAGCACCGGCCAACUACGUGCCAGCAGCCGCGGUAAUACGUAGGGUGCGAGCGUUGUCCGGAAUUACUGGGCGUAAAGAGCUCGUAGGCGGUUUGUCGCGUCGUCUGUGAAAUUCUGCAGCUUAACUGCAGGCGUGCAGGCGAUACGGGCAGACUUGAGUACUACAGGGGAGACUGGAAUUCCUGGUGUAGCGGUGAAAUGCGCAGAUAUCAGGAGGAACACCGGUGGCGAAGGCGGGUCUCUGGGUAGUAACUGACGCUGAGGAGCGAAAGCGUGGUAGCGAACAGGAUUAGAUACCCUGGUAGUCCACGCCGUAAACGGUGGGUACUAGGUGUGGGUUCCAUUUCACGGGAUCCGUGCCGUAGCUAACGCAUUAAGUACCCCGCCUGGGGAGUACGGCCGCAAGGCUAAAACUUAAAGGAAUUGACGGGGUCAUAGCUGUUUCCU